rnacentral:lncRNA from 1 species
ACACUUUUAGAUAAUUUAAAAAACAAUGCCAAUCAGAUAAAUCAAGACAUAACCACAAUCAUAGGUUAACACACACUAAAGGGCAAUGCCAUUAAAGGAGAAGAGGAACUUUGGAAACUGCUGUCUGAAAGGAAAGCAAAGCACUCUUCAUUAACAGCUAGUGGGCUCCUAAUUUCUGCCCAUGAAGGCAUGUUCAUACUGACAGAGCACCCCCUCAAGGGGAAGAACCAUCCGCGCUAAUUCUUGUUGUCCUCUUCUGAGCUAGUGUGCUCAUUGUUCAUACAAACUAGUGUGUCAACAUUAAAACAAAAAGGGAGUUGAAUCAA